rnacentral:rRNA from 1 species
UGGGGAAUAUUGGACAAUGGGGGAAACCCUGAUCCAGCCAUGCCGCGUGAGUGAUGAAGGCCUUAGGGUUGUAAAGCUCUUUUGUCAGGGAAGAUGAUGACGGUACCUGAAGAAUAAGCACCGGCUAACUUCGUGCCAGCAGCCGCGGUAAUACGAAGGGUGCUAGCGUUGUUCGGAAUUACUGGGCGUAAAGCGCGCGUAGGCGGCUUUUCAAGUCAGGGGUGAAAUCCCACGGCUCAACCGUGGAAUUGCCUUUGAAACUGUAAAGCUGGAGUAUCGGAGGGGAUAGCGGAAUUCCUAAUGUAGAGGUGAAAUUCGUAGAUAUUAGGAGGAACACCGGUGGCGAAGGCGGCUAUCUGGAACACAACUGACGCUGAGGCGCGAAAGCGCGGGGAUCAAACAGGAUUAGAUACCCCCGUAGUCC